rnacentral:rRNA from 1 species
GACGAACGCUGGCGGCGUGCUUAACACAUGCAAGUCGAACGAAGUGGCGAACGGGUGAGUAACGCGUAAUCAACCUGCCCUUCAGCGGGGGACAACAGUUGGAAACGAAUGCUAAUACCGCAUACUGAAGGAGGGGAUUGCGUCUGAUUGGCUCGUUGGAGGGGGAACGGCCCACCAAGGCGAUGAUCAGGAGCCGGGCUGAGAGGAUGAACGGCCAAAGUGGGACUGAGACACGGCCCAGACGCCGACGGGAGGCAGCAGUGGGGAAUCGUCCGCAAUGGACGAAAGUCUGACGGAGCAACGCCGCGGGAGUGAUGACGGGCGUCGGGUUGUAAAGCUCUGUUAAUCGGGACGCGGUACCGGAAUAGAAAGCCACGGCUAACUACGUGCCAGCAGCCGCGGUAAUAC